AAAUAAAAACAUCAGUAGGAGGGGAAGGAGGAAGGAAGGAGAAGAAAGAGGAAGAAUAGGAGGAGAAGAGGAAGAGAGGAAGAAGUCGUGAACAGCCCUCCUGCAUUUUGCAUCAGGUAGAAAAGUCAGUUGAAUGUUGGGAAGAACACAAAUAAAAAUGCAAGAGAACAGCUAUCUUCACAGAUCCCGGAACAAAGGACAAAGGAUAGAACUAAAAGCUCCCCCCACCCGCCGCCCGGCACCAAAGGAGUCAUAUCUGAUUACUUCCUUUGGAAAGGCUAAUCAGAAACUGAAAAGAAUGUAACUGUUUGUGUCUCACCUAUCUGUGACCUGGAAGCUCCCUCCCAGCUUUGAGUCUUCCUGCCUUUGCUUCCAGUUGUUCUGCCUUUCCAGACCCAACCA
rnacentral:lncRNA from 10 species